rnacentral:tRNA from 1 species
GCGGAUGUGGCGAAAUUGGCAGACGCACUAGACUUAGGAUCUAGCGGAGCAAUCCAUGUAGGUUCGACCCCUAUCAUCCGCACGA